AGGCGGCCGGCGCGCGCCUCGGACAGACCCCGCGGGACCUCGUCCGGGCUGCCCAGAAACUGGGAACACCUCGAACCAGAGUCGUCGGGCCGCGGCGGGCUGACACCAAAACAGAACAGCUCCAGAAACGGCAGAAUGAGGAGAGGAGCGUCCCCCACGCGGCCUGAGCCUCAGUCGUUGCAAACCUCCCCAUCUUGAGAACAUGUCCAAGUGGGAGAAAUAAAUCCUUCCAGCCGCAGCAGCGGAAACAGCACGUCUCCGGAGCGGGGAAGCGGAUCAGCCACACGGGCUUCCUUCCAGGGUUUCCCGUCUUUGAAACCACGACACACACACACGACAGAGAAGCGCACGGUGGACUCAUUAACCGUGGCUCAGAUGAAGAAGCAUCACCAGCACCCCAGAAAGCCGCUUUGUGCCUCUGUCCCUUACCGCUUCCCCCAAACUGGUUCCUGAUUUUCCUCACCAUAAAGCAGUUUCAGCUUGUCAGGAACUCGGGUACCUCUGGCCUCUUGGGCCCAGGAUUGGGCCUACCUGCCGCCC